UACGAAGGGGGCUAGCGUUGCUCGGAAUUACUGGGCGUAAAGGGCGCGUAGGUGGCCCGGUCAGUUCGUGGUGAAAGCGCGGGGCUCAACCCUGCGUCGGCCAUGAAUACUGCCGCGGCUGGAGCACUGUAGAGGCAGGCGGAAUUCCGGGUGUAGCGGUGGAAUGCGUAGAGAUCCGGAAGAACACCGGUGGCGAAGGCGGCCUGCUGGGCAGUUGCUGACACUGAGGCGCGACAGCGUGGGGAGCAAACAGG
rnacentral:rRNA from 1 species